CUGUCUGAAUAUGGGGGGACCAUCCUCCAAGGCUAAAUACUCCUGACUGACCGAUAGUGAACCAGUACCGUGAGGGAAAGGCGAAAAGAACCCCGGCGAGGGGAGUGAAAAAGAACCUGAAACCGUGUACGUACAAGCAGUGGGAGCCCCACCACUAAGCCAGUGGUGAACUCCACAUCCGCAUCCUUUGCUGAGGAUACGGUUAACGGAGCGAAAGCGACGUUCAACCGCAAAACAAGCAGAGGGGGCUUAGUGGUGGGGUGACUGCGUACCUUUUGUAUAAUGGGUCAGCGACUUAUAUUCUGUAGCAAGGUUAACCGAAUAGGGGAGCCGGAGGGAAACCGAGUCUUAAUUGGGCGUUAAGUUGCAGGGUAUAGACCCGAAACCCGGUGAUCUAGCCAUGGGCAGGUUGAAGGUUGGGUAACACUAACUGGAGGACCGAACCGACUAAUGUUGAAAAAUUAGCGGAUGACCUGUGGCUGGGGGUGAAAGGCCAAUCAAACCGGGAGAUAGCUGGUUCUCCCCGAAAGCUAUUUAGGUAGCGCCUCGUGAAUUCAUCUCCGGGGGUAGAGCACUGUUUCGGCUAGGGGGCCAUCCCGGCUUACCAACCCGAUGCAAACUGCGAAUACCGGAGAAUGUUAUCACGGGAGACACACGGCGGGUGCUAACGUCCGUCGUGAAGAGGGAAACAACCCAGACCGCCAGCUAAGGUCCCAAAGUCAUGGUUAAGUGGGAAACGAUGUGGGAAGGCCCAGACAGCCAGGAUGUUGGCUUAGAAGCAGCCAUCAUUUAAAGAAAGCGUAAUAGCUCACUGGUCGAGUCGGCCUGCGCGGAAGAUGUAACGGGGCUAAACCAUGCACCGAAGCUGCGGCAGCGAACGUAUCACCCAAGACAACUUUACGGAGUUGACGAUUGACGGAGCGAAGCGACGUCAAAGCGUUCAUUAAAGUCGAGUUGGCUUAGGGAUACGUUCGUUGGGUAGGGGAGCGUUCUGUAAGCCUGUGAAGGUGUGUCGUGAGGCAUGCUGGAGGUAUCAGAAGUGCGAAUGCUGACAUAAGUAACGAUAAAGCGGGUGAAAAGCCCGCUCGCCGGAAGACCAAGGGUUCCUGUCCAACGUUAAUCGGGGCAGGGUGAGUCGACCCCUAAGGCGAGGCCGAAAGGCGUAGUCGAUGGGAAACGGGUUAAUAUUCCCGUACUUGGUGUUACUGCGAAGGGGGGACGGAGAAGGCUAUGUUGGCCGGGCGACGGUUGUCCCGGUUUAAGCGUGUAGGUGUGUGUUCCAGGUAAAUCCGGUUCACUUUAACACUGAGGCGUGACGACGAGGCACUACGGUGCUGAAGCAACAAAUGCCCUGCUUCCAGGAAAAGCCUCUAAGCAUCAGGUAACACGAAAUCGUACCCCAAACCGACACAGGUGGUCAGGUAGAGAAUACCAAGGCGCUUGAGAGAACUCGGGUGAAGGAACUAGGCAAAAUGGUGCCGUAACUUCGGGAGAAGGCACGCUGACACGUAGGUGAAGUGAUUUACUCAUGGAGCUGAAGUCAGUCGAAGAUACCAGCUGGCUGCAACUGUUUAUUAAAAACACAGCACUGUGCAAACACGAAAGUGGACGUAUACGGUGUGACGCCUGCCCGGUGCCGGAA
rnacentral:rRNA from 1 species